GCUAGAAUAGUGCAGUGGUAACAUGUUUGUUUACUAUACCAGUGACCAGGGUUUGAGCCUCAGCUCUUCUA